GACGAACGCUGGCGGCGUGCUUAACACAUGCAAGUCGAACGGAAAGGCCCUGCUUUUGUGGGGUGCUCGAGUGGCGAACGGGUGAGUAACACGUGAGUAACCUGCCCUUGACUUUGGGAUAACUUCAGGAAACUGGGGCUAAUACCGGAUAGGAGCUCCUGCUGCAUGGUGGGGGUUGGAAAGUUUCGGCGGUUGGGGAUGGACUCGCGGCUUAUCAGCUUGUUGGUGGGGUAGUGGCUUACCAAGGCUUUGACGGUAGCCGGCCUGAGAGGGUGACCGGCCACAUUGGGACUGAGAUACGGCCCAGACUCCUACGGGAGGCAGCAGUGGGGAAUAUUGCCAAUGGGCGGAAGCCUGAUGCAGCAACGCCGCGUGCGGGAUGACGGCCUUCGGGUUGUAAACCGCUUUCGCCUGGGACGAAGCGUGAGUGACGGGAAUGGGUAAAGAAGCACCGGCUAACUACG
rnacentral:rRNA from 1 species